rnacentral:misc_RNA from 1 species
GUACCCUCAAGCUUUGCUUGGUGUUGGGCGUCUUGUCUCUAGCUUUGCUGGAGACUCGCCUUAAAGUAAUUGGCAGCCGGCCUACUGGUUUCGGAGCGCAGCACAAGUCGCACUCUCUAUCAGCAAAGGUCUAGCAUCCAUAAAGCCUCUUUCUCAC